GCCCGCUUGGCGGAACGGUAGACGCAACGGACUUAAAAUCCGUAGGCCUAAAAGGCCGUCCCGGUUCAAGUCCGGGAGCGGGCACCA
rnacentral:tRNA from 1 species